GACGAACGCUGGCGGCGUGCUUAAUACAUGCAAGUCGAACGAAGAGCGAUGGAAGCUUGCUUCUAUCCAUCUUCGUGGCGAACGGGUGAGUCACGCGUAAUCAACCUGUAUUUCAGUGGGGGACAACAGUUGGAAACGACUGCUUAUACCGCAUACGAUCUAACCUCGGCAUCGAGGAAAGAUAAACGGUGGUCCCUAUGUAUAUGCUAUCACUGAAGGCGGGGUUUGCGUUUGAUUAGCUAGUUGGGGGGGGAACGGACCACCCAAGCGAUGACUAGUAGGCGGUCUGAGAGGAUGGACGGCCACAUCGGGACUGAGACACCGCCCAGACUCCUACGGGAGGCAGCAAUGGGGAAACUUCCGCAAUGGACGAAAGGCUGGCGGAGCAACGCCGCGUGAGUGAUGACGGCUUUCGGGUUGUAAAGCUCUGUUAAUCGGGACGAAAGGCCUUCUUGCGAAAAGUGAGAAGGAUUGACGGUACCUGAAUAGAAAGCCACGGCUAACUACGUG
rnacentral:rRNA from 1 species